CGCCUCUUGCAAAAAUAUAAGAGGUCCAGCCUGCCCAGUGACUCUGUUCAACGGCCGCGGUAUCCUAACCGUGCGAAGGUAGCGUAAUCACUUGUUCUUUAAAUGAGGACUAGUAUGAAUGGCACCACGAAGGUUAUACUGUCUCCUUUUCCCAAUCAGUGAAACUAAUCUCCCCGUGAAGAAGCGGGGAUAUUCCUAUAAGACGAGAAGACCCUAUGGAGCUUUAAACUAUGCAUCAACUGCUUUACCCAAUAUUAACUCUCACGAGUAUUAACUUUUAACCUAGCAUAAUGACUGCAAGUUUUCGGUUGGGGUGACCACGGAGCAAAAACUAACCUCCACAUUGAAAAGAACUAUUUUCUUUAGCUAUGAACUACAUUUCUAAGCAUCAACAAUUUGACAUCCAUUGACCCAAUCUAUUGAUCAACGAACCAAGUUACCCUAGGGAUAACAGCGCAAUCCACUUCAAGAGCUCAUAUCGACAAGUGGGUUUACGACCUCGAUGUUGGAUCAGGGUAUCCCAGUGGUGCAGCCGCUACUAAAGGUUCGUUUGUUCAACAAUUAAAACCCUA
rnacentral:rRNA from 1 species